AUUGAACGCUGGCGGCAGGCCUAACACAUGCAAGUCGAACGGUAACAGGAAGCAGCUUGCUGCUUUGCCGACGAGUGGCGGACGGGUGAGAAAUGUCUGGGAAACUGCCCGAUGCAGGGGGAUAACUACUGGAAACGGUAGCUAAUACCGCAUAAUGUCGCAAGACCAAAGAGGGGGACCUUCGGGCCUCUUGCCAUCGGAUGUGCCCAGAUGGGAUUAGCUUGUUGGUGAGGUAACGGCUCACCAAGGCGACGAUCCAUAGCUGCUCUCAGAGGAUGACCAGGCACACUGCAACUGAGACACGGUCCAGACUCCUACGGGAGGCAGCGUUGGGGAAUAUUGCACAAUGGGCGCAAGCCUGAUGCAGCCAUUCCACGUGUAUGAAGAAGGCCUUCGGUUUGUAAAGUACUUUCAGCGGGGAGGAAGGAAUUAAGGUUAAUAACCUUAGCCAUUGACGUUACCCGCAGAAGAAGCACCGGCUAACUCCGUGCCAGCCGCCGCCGUAA
rnacentral:rRNA from 1 species